rnacentral:rRNA from 1 species
AUACGGAGGACGCGAGCGUUAUCCGGAUUUAUUGGGUCUAAAGGGAGCGCAGGCGGAGAUGCAAGCGUGACGUCAAAUUUCGGGGCUCAACCCCGUCUCGCGUCGCGAACUGCGUCCCUUGGUUGCGGGAAGGGGAGGCGGAACUCGUGGUGUAGCGGUGAAAUGCAUAGAUAUCACGAAGAACUCCGAUCGCGAAGGCAGCCUUCCGGCCCGUCAACGACGCUCAUGCUCGAAGGUGCGGGUAUCAAACAGGAUUAGAUACCCUGGUAGUCCACACUGUAAACGAUGAAUGCUAGGUGUAAGAGGUAUCGACCCCUUUUGUGCCGGAGUCAACACAAUAAGCAUUCCGCCUGGGGAGUACGGCCGCAAGGUUGAAACUUAAAGGAAUUGACGGGG